rnacentral:tmRNA from 2 species
GGGGACGACCGGAAUCGAUGGAUUAGUACAUUUACAGCUGCAAGCCUCCUUUGGUAAAAGGAGUAAAAAAGACCAAAAUACAACUGUCAAUAAAGAAGACAAGUUACUUGGUUUCACCUCAAGUGAAGCCAAAUCUUUCGCUCCAGUUUACGCUUUUGCCUAAACUCGAGUUUUAAGACGUCUUAGGAAAUACCGGAUCCCGGGGUACUCUUAAGGCGAAAAAACACCGGAUUGAAUGACCCAAGUUUGAUUAAGGCUUGGGUACUAACUUUUUCUUGAUCGACCAUAAAGUGUUCUUGUUUGCCUGAAGCUUUGUGGAAAAUCGGCAAACUAAGCUUGUAGAAACUGUAGGUUUAUUAUUUCAGACGAGGGUUCAAUUCCCUCCGUCUCCACAA